GAAAGAUUGUAAAGAAUAUAAAGCAGAACGGGUCGCGGUUGAGGGCGACGGUGGUUUUGACAUGCUUGAUUGCUGCAAGUGGGGCGAGAGGUGAUCGCUAUUCACGUUCAUGUAAUCAGUUUGGAUUGGGAGUUUUGAUAGUGAUAAGGUGCGAAUAGACAGGCUCUAGCGUUGAGUACGUCAGUUUUGAGGUUAGACAUUGAGAUUUGUAUUGUGAAUUUGGCAGAUUAGGUGUUUCAUGGUUGGGGGGAAUUGUUGACUCUGUUGUGGAGUUGUAGGACCUGAUUGAAUGGGGCAAACUAUAGCUAUGUGAUCCCUCUGGUGUACAAUUGGCAGCUUUCAAUUCAUGUGACUGAUGAGUGUCGAGUUGUACUUGGUUGCUUCUGUUAAUCCCUUAGAUUACUGAGUUUGGAUCAAUGCUACAAUUGGAAUGUGGUCAGAUUGAUCGAAUUUCCUCAUAUUUGUUCGGUACAGAUCACACUCUGCUGUUUCUACUUUGGGGAAAAAAAUUGUUGAGUGUCUUACGGUGAUUGAAUAACAGCUGUUCAGCUUUUGUUCAGUUGAGUUAUGGCUGUAGCCUGUAGGUUUUAGUGGAGUAACUUUGUGGGAAAGUGGAGCCUUACGUUGUUUACUUAUUCCUCCUUCAUUGCAUUGGAUUGUGUAAAUACUUCUUUCGGUUCACAAAGGACUGCAAAAAUAUACUGAAUGUUGUUUUGAGUUGAUGUUGACUUAAAGCGUUCCCCUCACUUGAUUUGUCAUUAUAGCUUGCUAGAGACAUAAGAAACUUGAUUCAUUGCUUGUGAUUGAAUGAGCUUGAGACUGCAUUUCAAUCUGAAAUUUUAUGUACUGGUAAAUGCAGAAUUAAAAGUGAGGUCCAAGGCUCAUAAAGCUGUUUACAAUCACACUCUUGCCACGAUAUUGGUGGGGUUUACAUGUCAGAUUUGACAGAACUUUUUAGCUGGACAUGCCCUAGAUGUGAUGGAAAGAACAAGCCUCAUCUUAUGAGCUUCCGAACUGGUUAUUAAUGCCUUUUCGAGAUGAAAGCAGGGGUUCGAAGUCAUUAAACUGAUAGUUGACCUUCAGCACUGCUUACAGGCACAUGUUGGGGUGGCCAAGGACCUUAAUGCUACGGUUAUUGCUUUCAAAGGUUUCCAAGAACAUAGCAUACAAAAUUGAGUUGAAGAUCUCUAUUGGAAACAGCUUGACAUAUUACCCCGGCAUGCCUAGUGCCAUGGGCAUUCUAUUGGAGGGGCUAUGACAUCCUUUUGGGGACUCGAUCUUGUGCUCCUCUUCAGUCAGACUACUGGGCUAGAUAAACGUAUGUAUUUGCAAACAUUUUUUUGUUCAUGUGAAGUCCUCAGAGAGGUACUAACCGAGGUAUACUUGUUUCAUCAUAACUUUUUUCUAGCUUUUCCUGCUUCCAUACUGCACUAGUUAUCGUUCUUAUGACAGAGAACCUCAUCUUCAAUACUUUCAAAUACUUCAUGUUCCCGACCAAACCAGGCAGCUUCUCUAUGUUCAUGUUCAGUAGUGUC